GUCUAGUAAAAGGAACAGAGACAAAACCAAGCAUUUUAACAAUCUUGGUCCAUGUCUGAAUGAAAAAAUAAGCAAGAAGAGCAGCUGAGACAUUGAGAUUAGGAUUAAUUCCAGUUGUGAGAUUCAUUUUCAUUUGUAUCACACUGUAAAUGCAUCCGAUGAUUAUCGUACUAGCAAUGACUCCUCGUAUCGUGAUCUGUUUAGUCCAUGGUUGAAUUCAAAAAUAUAAGCAAGAAGAGCAGCUGAGACAUUGAGAUUAGGAUUAAUUCCAGUUGUGAGAUUCAUUUUCAUUUGUAUCACACUGUAAAUGCAUCCGAUUAUCGUACUAGCAACGACUCCUCGUAUCGUGAUCUGUUCAGUCCAUGGUUGAAUUCUCAUCGUACUC
rnacentral:lncRNA from 1 species